GAGACAUGGGCUCCGCUCCCUGGGCCCCGGUCCUGCUGCUGGCGCUCGGGCUGCGCGGCCUCCAGGCGGGGAGUGAGUGUGGCGGCGCCCCCAGCCCAUUCCCCGGCCCCAUCCCCGGCUCCGGCCCCGCCUCUGAGGUUCGCGUCCCCCCACAGCCCGCAGGGCCCUGGACCCCGGCUUCCAGGAGCGCUUCUUCCAGCAGCGUCUGGACCACUUCAACUUCGAGCGCUUCGGCAACAAGACCUUCCCCCAGCGCUUCCUGGUGUCGGGUGAGACCCCGACCCCGGCCCGGCCGCCCCUGCCGUCCCGCCGCCCCCCAGCACCGUCGCCUCAUGCGCCCUCCCCACAGACAGGUUCUGGAUCCGGGGCGAGGGGCCCAUCUUCUUCUACACUGGGAACGAGGGCGACGUGUGGGCCUUCGCCAACAACUCGGGCUUCGUCGCGGAGCUGGCGGCCGAGCAGGGGGCUCUACUGGUCUUCGCGGAGCACCGCUACUACGGGAAGUCGCUGCCGUUCGGUGCGCAGUCCACGCGGCGCGGGCACACGGAGCUGCUGACGGUGGAGCAGGCCCUGGCCGACUUCGCAGAGCUGCUCCGCGCGCUACGGCGCGACCUCGGGGCCCAGGAUGCCCCCGCCAUCGCCUUCGGUGGAAGGACUUUGAGGGCCAGAGUCCCAAAUGCACCCAGGGUGUGCGGGAAGCGUUCCGACAGAUCAAGGACUUGUUCCUACGGGGAGCCUACGACACGGUCCGCUGGGAGUUCGGCACCUGCCAGCCGCUGUCAGACGAGAAGGACCUGACCCAGCUCUUCAUGUUCGCUCGGAAUGCCUUCACCGUGUUGGCCAUGAUGGACUAUCCUUACCCCACUGACUUCCUGGGUCCCCUCCCCGCCAACCCGGUCAAGGUGGGCUGUGACCGGCUGCUGAGUGAGGCCCAGAGGAUCACGGGGCUGCGAGCGCUGGCAGGGCUGGUCUACAACGCCUCGGGCUCCGAGCACUGCUACGACAUCUACCGGCUCUACCACAGCUGUGCUGACCCCACUGGCUGCGGCACCGGCCCCGAC
rnacentral:sRNA from 1 species